rnacentral:rRNA from 1 species
CAGUAGCCACGGUAAUACGUAGGGUGCAAGCGUUAAUCGGAAUUACUGGGCGUAAAGCGUGCGCAGGCGGUUAUAUAAGUCAGAUGUGAAGUCCCCGGGCUCAACCUGGGAAUGGCGAUGGAGACUGCAAGGCUAGAAUCUGGCAGAGGGGGGUAGAAUUCCACGUGUAGCAGUGAAAUGCGUAGAGAUCGGGAGGAACAUCAGUGGCGAAGGCGGCCAUCUGGGACAACACUGACGCUGAAGCACGAAAGCGUGGGGAGCAAACAGGAUUAGAUACCCCCGUAGUCCCUGUCUCUUAUAC